rnacentral:rRNA from 1 species
UACGGGGGGGGCUAGCGUUGUUCGGAAUUACUGGGCGUAAAGGGCGCGUAGGCGGUCUGCUAAGUUGGAUGUGAAAACUCUGGGCUUAACCCAGAGCCUGCAUUCAAUACUGACAGGCUAGAGUUCUGGAGGGGAUAGCGGAAUUCCUGGUGUAGCGGUGAAAUGCGUAGAUAUCAAGAGGAACACCGGUGGCGAAGGCGGCAUUCUGGACUGCAACUGACACUGAAAGACGAAAGCCAGGGGAGCAAACGGG